rnacentral:rRNA from 1 species
AUGAACGCUGACAGAAUGCUUCACACAUGCAAGUCAACUUGAACUUCGGUUUGGGUGGCGGACGGGUGAGUAACGCGUAAAGAACUUGCCUCACAGCUAGGGACAACAUUUGGAAACGAAUGCUAAUACCUGAUAUUAUGAUUUUAGGGCAUCCUAGAAUUAUGAAAGCUAUAUGCGCUGUGAGAGAGCUUUGCGUCCCAUUAGCUAGUUGGAGAGGUAACGGCUCACCAAGGCGAUGAUGGGUAGCCGGCCUGAGAGGGUGAACGGCCACAAGGGGACUGAGACACGGCCCUUACUCCUACGGGAGGCAGCAGUGGGGAAUAUUGGACAAUGGACCAAGAGUCUGAUCCAGCAAUUCUGUGUGCACGAUGAAGUUUUUCGGAAUGUAAAGUGCUUUCAGUUGGGAAGAAAAAAAUGACGGUACCAACAGAAGAAGUGACGGCUAAAUACGUG